AUUGAACGCUGGCGGUAUGCUUUACACAUGCAAGUCGAGCGGUAGAGGGGCAACCCUUGAGAGUGGCGAACGGGUGAGUAAUACAUCGGAACGUGCCCAGUCGUGGGGGAUAACGUAGCGAAAGCUACGCUAAUACCGCAUACGACGUGAGGGUGAAAGCGGGGGACUCGCACGGGCCUCGCGCGAUUGGAGCGGCCGCUGGCGGAUUGGGUAGUUGGUGGGGUAAAGGCUCACCAAGCCGACGAUCUGUAGCUGGUCUGAGAGGAGGACCAGCGACACGGGGACUGAGAGGAGGCCCAGACUCCGACGGGAGGCAGCAGUGGGGAAUUUUGGACGAUGGGCGAAAGCCUGAUCCAGCCAUACCGCGUGCAGGAAGAAGGCCUUCGGGUUGUAAACUGCUUUUGUCAGGGAAGAAAGCUUCUGGGCUAACACCCUGGGAGGAUGACGGUACCUGAAGAAUAAGCACCGGCUAACUACGUGCCAGCAGCCGCCGUAAAAC
rnacentral:rRNA from 1 species